GUGUCAUCGCUAAGCUCGAAAUUUUAUUGUUGUAAAUUUAUUUACUUUAUUCAAUUGGACAAACUUGCAGCGUGUGGACGAGCUUAGGAGCAUUGCUGUGUUAGCCGAUCUUAGAGAGAAACCCAGAUAAGCGGCCAUGUCUACGCAGCCAGCGGAAAAUGAGGAAAGUGCGGCGGCGAAGUCCAAGCGACCUUCAGAUUCGGCCUUCAAGCAGCAGCGUCUGCCCGCCUGGCAGCCCGUCCUCACCGCACGCACCGUCCUGCCCACUUUCUUCGUGAUAGGGGUGCUCUUCAUACCCAUCGGUGUGGUUCUGCUGCAUCUGAGCAACACCGCCAACGAGCUGAUCAUCGACUACACCAAGUGCAGACCGUCGGUCGGGAACGCCACCUGCGCGGAGAUCCUGGAGGCCAACCCCGGCAGCGAGUGUCCCUGCCAGGUGCCCUUCGUCCUGCCCAAGGACUUCAAUGGCGUGGUCUACAUGUACUAUGGACUGACAAACUACUACCAGAACCAUCGGCGCUACGUGAAGUCACGGGACGACGAGCAACUGCUAGGUCACCUGUCGCAAACGCCCAGCUCGGACUGCGCCCCCUUUGCCUAUGAUCCGGACAACGGAAAGCCCAUUGCACCCUGCGGUGCAAUCGCCAACUCGCUGUUCAAUGACACGCUGACCCUGAUGCAGAAUGGUACCGAGAUCAAGCUGUUGAAGACGGGCAUUGCCUGGCCGUCAGAUAAGCGGGUGAAGUUCCGAAACCCGGAGGGGAAUCUCACAUUGGCCCUUGAGGGCUUUGAGAAGCCGAUGUUCUGGAACAAGAGCCUGGACCAGCUGGACCUAGAGAAUCCGGAGAACAACGGCUUCCAAAACGAGGAUCUUAUCGUGUGGAUGCGCACCGCCGCAUUGCCCAGCUUCCGGAAGCUAUAUCGCCGGCUCGACCAGACGAACAGCAAUUAUGCUAACGGUCUCAAGGCUGGCAAUUAUAUGCUAAACAUUAAGUAUCAAUAUCCAGUGGUCUCGUUCGACGGCACCAAGCGCAUGAUCUUGUCCACCACUUCCGUGCUGGGUGGCAAGAAUCCUUUCCUGGGCAUUGCGUACAUUGUGGUUGGCGCCAUUUGCAUCACCCUUGGCUUGGCCCUGCUUUUCAUCCAUAUGCGAUGCAGCCGCAGCAUUGUAGUGCAUUAGGUUCACUGGGAAUCGGGAAUUUCAUAGCCCAUUGAAGCCCCCUCAGUUCUCAUGGCAAAAUUUGCUUUGCUCGUAGCAACAUGGAGAUGAUCAACGUGAAUCCGCACACGCAGUACUCCUAGACCGAGCACCGACAGUAUUCCGGGCUGCUUCACUUAGCUUUAGUAGAUCCAUCUGUUUAAGCCUUAUCAGCAUAAAAUAGCUUAUAUGACCAACAGGCACUGUGUUUUCAACUACUCUGUUUUAUUUGUUUCUUGACUGUGCAUUUAGCCAUCCGAAAAGCUGGCCGUGCCUUUUGUUAAUUAUUUUUGUUUUUGUACAACCUAUUCUGCACAUCACAACACCAAGUGGCUCCCUUCGAUUAUCCACACGAAUUUUCACCAUUACUUUACAACUGCAAAGUAAUACUUUGUGCCUGACCUAAUCUGUUUUGCCUUAUACUACGUUUAUUGGCGCAAAUAAACAUUGUUAAUGGCAGA